CUACUACUCACUCCGUCCGAAAAUACUUGUCAUCAAAAUGGAUAAAAAGGGAUGUAUGUAGAACUAAAAUAUGUCUAGAUACAUCUCCUUUUAUCCAUUUUGAUGACAAGUAUUUCCGGACGGAGGGAGUACUUU
rnacentral:pre_miRNA from 1 species